rnacentral:rRNA from 1 species
UACGAAGGGGGGCUAGCGUUGUUCGGAUUUACUGGGCGUAAAGCGCACGUAGGCGGAUCGUUAAGUCAGGGGGUGAAAUCCUGGGGCUCAACCCCAGAACUGCCUUUGAUACUGGCGAUCUCGAGUCCGGAAGAGGUGAGUGGAACUCCUAGUGUAGAGGUGGAAUUCGUAGAUAUUAGGAAGAACACCAGUGGCGAAGGCGGCCCACUGGUCCGGUACUGACGCUGAGGUGCGAAAGCGUGGGGAGCAAACAGGG